UACGUAGGUCGCAAGCGUUGUCCGGAUUUACUGGGCGUAAAGAGCUCGUAGGCGGUUUGUCGCGUCUGCCGUGAAAGUCCGGGGCUCAACUCCGGAUCUGCGGUGGGUACGGGCAGACUAGAGUGAUGUAGGGGAGACUGGAAUUCCUGGUGUAGCGGUGAAAUGCGCAGAUAUCAGGAGGAACACCGAUGGCGAAGGCAGGUCUCUGGGCAUUAACUGACGCUGAGGAGCGAAAGCAUGGGGAGCGAACAGG
rnacentral:rRNA from 1 species